UACGUAGGUGGCAAGCGUUGUCCGGAUUUACUGGGCGUAAAGAGCGCGCAGGCGGUCGAGUAAGUCGAAUGUGAAAGCCCCCGGCUUAACUGGGGAGGGUCAUUCGAUACUGUUCGACUUGAAGGCAGGAGAGGGCAGCAGAAUUCCCGGUGUAGUGGUGAAAUGCGCAGAUAUCAGGAGGAACACCUGCGGCGAAGGCGGGUUGCUGGGCCGACACUGACGCUGAGGCGCGAAAGCCAGGGGAGCGAACGGG
rnacentral:rRNA from 1 species